UACGAAGGGGGCUAGCGUUGUUCGGAAUUACUGGGCGUAAAGCGCACGUAGGCGGAUUGUUAAGUUAGGGGUGAAAUCCCGGGGCUCAACCCCGGAACUGCCUUUAAUACUGGCAAUCUCGAGUCCGAGAGAGGUGAGUGGAAUUCCGAGUGUAGAGGUGAAAUUCGUAGAUAUUCGGAGGAACACCAGUGGCGAAGGCGGCUCACUGGCUCGGUACUGACGCUGAGGUGCGAAAGCGUGGGGAGCAAACGGG
rnacentral:rRNA from 1 species